CACAAUGUUUUGAGACCUCAUUGCUAGGAACUCUUAUGUAAUGAGCUUGCUUCAUAUUGGCUCAGAACCUCAACUGUCACACAGCUAAUAGUAACUCUUCAAGGCCACCAACUAGUGGACAUCAGGACAGUGUAGUUCUGUUUAGUAAUAAAAACAAGUUUACUGUUUUUUUUUCUCUUAAAGUACAGAGAGCAUAGUUGGC